AUGACACAAAGCCCAGACUAAUGCCAAAGUCUCCUUUUCGAUCACAGAGUAGUUAAGCUGAUGUUUAUUAAAUUUCUUAGAAAAGAAACUUAUAGGCCUAUCCACUCCCUGAUUGUCAGACUGCAUCAACACCGCACCUGCCCCCACGUGACUGGCAUCCACCUGCAGCUUGAACGGCUACUCCACACAGCGGCCAGCCAGCACUGGAGCACUGCAUAAAAGGGCCUUGACAUUCUUUAAAGCCUGCUGACAAACAGGGGACCACACAUAUUUAACAUCUUUUCCUAACAAAUCAGUUAGGGGAUCGACCACAGAGGAAAAGUUCCUACAGAACCUGCGAUAGUAUCCUACCAUUCCCAAGAACCGCAUUAGCUCUUUUUUGGUUGUUGGUGUAGGAAACUGCUCCACAGCCCACACCUUUGCGUGCACUGGCUGCACUAACCCCUGGCCUACAACAUGUCCAAGGUACGUUACUGUUGCAUGAGCAAACUCACAUUUUGCCAAAUUAAUUGUCAGUCGUGCAGCAGCCAAACGUUCAAACAAUGAACGAAUACGCAAGACAUGGCCGUCCCAACUGUAACUGUAGACAACCACAUAUAUACAUAUACCACCAUAUUCAUCAGACGUUCAAAUGUGGCUGGUGCGUUCCGCAGGCCAAAGGGCAUCACCUUAUAAGAAUACAGGCCAGAGGGAGUUAUAAACGCAGACAUCUCCUGCGCCCUUUUUGACAGUGGUACCUGCCAAUAACCUUUAAGCAGAUCAAAUUUACUCACGAACUUCGCAGAGCCAACCUGAUCGAUGCAAUCAUCCAUCCACGGAAGUGGAAAGGCAUCAGGCUUGGUGACACUGUUGACCUUACGAAAAUCAGAGCAAAAUCUGGGUGUCUUAUCAGACUUAGGGACAAGCAGAUGGGGAGGCCCAGCUGGGAAUGUGUAUCACCAAACAAACCUGGAAAACUGCCAAUUAGCUCAGCCAACUGAACACGCUUUGUCUACUGCAAAUGACUUAACAAACUACCCAAGUUGUUAAGAGUUUCUGGGUUUUUUAGCCGACCACAUUACAAUGCUUGUUCAAAACUGGGAGACCCUUCCAUCUCUGUCAUUGCCACUGACUGAGACGGGGAACUCACUACAGGGUUUGCAAGUGCGGCAGGCUGGACACACGCCGCACUAGGUGCCUUUGCCACACUCUGUUCAACUGCUUGAGUGUAGUAUGGUUUCAACAAAUUGACAUGAAAAAAGCUAUGACUUCUUCCUCCGCUCUGGAGUAGAAAUCAAGUAUUUCUGCUCUGAGAUCUGCUUUACCACUGUGUGCGGACCUGUAAACCUAGCGUGAAAGGGCGACCCCACAAUUUGUAAAAGAACCAGUACUUGAUCGCCAGUACUGAAUUGGCGCCGCUCAGCCUGUCGAUCACAAACACUCUUCAUUCUCUUUUGUGCUGUAACCAAUUUCUCCCUUGCUAACUCACCUGCAACAUAAUUUAUGUCUGAACCCAUUUACAUAGUCAAUCAGGUUUUUUGGAGGAUCACUGAUCUUAAAAUUGUCCCUCAACAUCGCUAGAGGACCACGUACAGAAUGUGCAAACACCAAGUCAUUGGGACUAAACCCAGUGCUCUCCUGGAUUACCUCCCUUGCUGCCAACAUUAACCAUGGCAAUCCUUCCUCCCAAUCCCUGCCCAAAUCUGUGCAAAAGGCACGCAGCAGCAACUUAAGUGUCUGAUGAAAACUCUCAAGUGCCCCCCGACUCUGUGCAUGAUAGGCUGAUGACUGUGAGUGCUUCACCUGAAGUUAUUUUAAUACCUGCGCAAAAAUGGGAGGAAAAGUUAGAACCUUGAUCACUUUGGACAACCCUGGGAAUUCCAAAAAUUGAAAUAAACUGUGAAAGUGCUUUUACCACAGACUGGGUUGUUAUUGACCGCAGAGGAUAUGCAGCUGGAUAUCUAGUGGCCUGACAGAUGACUGUCAAAAGAUACUUUGUUCCUGUCCUUGAAGGGGGGAGAGGUCCAACACAGUCAAUGAUUAUCUGCUCCAACGGUUCACCAAUGGCAGGGAUUGGGUGCAAUGGGACAGGCUUAAUAACCUGGUUUGGCUUGCCAGUUGUUUGACAUGUGUGGCAAGUUCUGAUGUAUUCUGAUACAUCCUUUUUUAGCCAAGGCCAAAAGAAGUACCGCAAAAUACGAUCAAAUGUCUUCCUGACCCCCAUAUGCCCUGAUUGGUCAUGAGAAAGCUGCAAAACCAAGAUACGAAAUCUGGCUGGUACUACAAUUUGGAAAAUUGGGCUUCCCAUACCAACGUCGCUACAAGGCACCCACUUUCUUACCAACCCACCAUUGUCAAGGAAAUAGCCAUAUGCCUUGUCCUUCACCUCUGCAAGAGGGAUUACAAUCUCCAACAACUUUUUAAUGGAGGGGUCUGACUGCUGCUCUGCUACCAAAUCUGCAACUGAAACAGACAAGGGAAAGUCAGACAAGUUCACACAUGAUUCUUCCAUGACACUCACUCUAUCAGGCUCACCACGAGCCCCGGCAGGAGUCACGACAAUGCUGCAAACACCUCUUGGAAGUCACACUCACUCUCAUCCGGUCCACCAUUAACUAUAGAGACUGGACUAACAACUGGAAAUGGAGGAACAUCUAUCCACACACGCCCCCCGGCUAGCCCAUUCCCAGGAAUGAGAUGUACACCUUCAACUGGCAACCCUGAGCACACUGCGAUGCAAACCUCCCCCUACACCAAAUCUGAGAAGAGAAGAAGCCUGUGCACCAGAGCAGACAAAACAGACAAUCCCAUUCCAAGAGCUAGUGCUGAAUCACCAGUAUCAGACUCCUCUGAAAAAGGGAAAACUGACGCCAGAAUAAAUUACCCAAAUGCGCCUGUGUCCCUCAGUAUGGUAACAGGCACCUUCUCACUGUGUCCUGUUAAGGAAACAUGACCAUUUGUUAUGAAAGGCAAAUAAGCAUCAUCAAUACGGACUUUGUCAUCCCCUUGAGGACAAGGUAAGUCCGAAAUUACACUCAUGGCUGAGUUUACAUUUGUUUGUUUAGUCUUUCUCUUUAAAGCAUAGCAAUCAGCUUUCACAUGCCCCUUUUUACAACAAAAAUGACACACUUUUUCAAUGUCACGCAAAUCUGUCACCUUUACUUCAGGCCUGACUGAACCAGCAGAUGAAAAUCCACGCCCAACAACACUAUCCUUAAAGCCACCUACACCACUACGUGCAUUUCCCAAACCACUGCGGUGUGUCAAGACAUCUGCUAAUGCAGCUGCCUCACCAACAGUUGUCACCUGUUGCUCCGUUAUAUAUGUGGCAAUACGGCUGGGAACUGCAUUUUUGAAUUCCUCCAAAACAAUAAGAUAACACAAAUCCUCAUAUGUUUCCACCUCAGAAGCUAUGCACCAACGAUUAAAAGUAUUUACCAAGUCACGUGAAAACUCGAGGUUGGACUGUUUAUCCUCUGUCUUCCCAUUUCUAAACCACUGGCGAUAAGCCUCAGGAACCAUCUCAUAUACCUUAAGAAAAGCAGCUUUCACUGAUUCAUAAUGCCGUCUUACCUGGCAACACCUCCGUCUCAUACAAGUUAGCCUUUGAAAUAGACUUAACUGUGUCCUUGAGCCUUUUGUCACUGAUUUCCAUUUUGUAGUGGUCUGCAAUUUUCUGCAACUGCUCUUUUGUGCAGCCAUCUAAAAACAAGUCUGAUGGAGUGUCAAAAAAAACUUCAACGCAAGCCAUUUUAGAACCCCAGACCAAUGAAAAGCAGUAGUUAACACGCUGGCUGUAAAAAAAAUAUAACAAAUAGGAGCGUAACCUCUAUCUGCCUAAGAAAAUGCUAAACUAACUCACCCCUAGUCUUCAUGUGGUUAAUUGCGGCGGGUACUUAUGCACUUAAGACCGCUGGUAUGGAAAAGUGACCAGUAUCUGGCAACCCCCCACAGCCAUGGACAUGCUUCCGAGACAAAGCUCUAACUGCAUUCACCCCAAAACUACAAAAACAACAAACCAGCGAAACUCAAAGGAGCAACGCUGCUAUGCCUAACAGGGGACAAUAACUUUAACUAAAACAAUUACACACCAGCAUGUCAACACUUACCUUCCGUUGGUCAAACAAGUCUUCCAACCCACAACACCACACAGUGUUUAACCAUGAUAUCAUCUCCAUCUUGCAGCUCUUCUUCUGAUGAGUCAGGGAAUGAGGGGACUAGUCAUAGACGGAAGAGGGCUAGAGACACAGCUGACGAGGACGUAAAGGAUUUUAGUGCGUUCCUUUAGUGCUUCCCGGUGGGAGUGACUGGCCAGCCGCCCACUAAGAAGCAAAGGACAGAUGCUGGGUUUCUGGCAGGCCGAGAUUUUUAUGAGCAGUGGAGGGUGGCACAGUACAACCAGCGGCCGGAGUACCUAUUGUGUUAAUGUAAAUGAUUGAUUAGCAAGAAUUUUCAUUUAAUUUUCUUACCUUGACAGCCCAGUAUUCAAGACACCCUCCAACUGUACACAAGGUUGCAAAGAUCAUCGGGAAAGAGUGAUGAAAAGGCAACCAUCCCUGUCCUGAGGACAUUGUAGCCAAGUGGGAACCAGCCAAGAGGGUUCAGAUGCAGAGUGAUCCAGGCAUCAUCAGUAGUGUCACAAAGCAGAGCUGGUCAGGCCAGACCAUCAAGGAUUUUGGCGGCGGCAAAGGGCAAGGAGUUGUUUCCACCAAAGCCUUUCCCAAAGGCUCCAUCCUCUGCGAUUACCAUGGAAAGGUAAUCACAGCAGUGGAAGGCAGGAAACUGAUGGAGUCCAUGCAGGAUGAGAUUUGUGCUACAUCUUUUUCAUCAAGGCUGGUGGCCGGGACCUCUGCAUUGAUGCGCAGACAUUUCCUUGCGAGUGCCAUCCUUCUGUGGAGACAAUGGGUAGGAAGAUCAACCGUUCAAGUUAGAACUGGAAUGUGAAGCCUCUUCAUUGCCAAAUCAACUUCCCAGAAGGAGCCGGGGAUGUCAUCCUCUUUCAGGCAAUGAAAGACAUUUCCAUCAGUAAAGAGCUCUGCUUUGACUACGGAGUCAACAGGAAGUCUUUCAGGGGAGGAGGACUCAACCUCGAAUGGCUGGAUAACUGAACAUCACAGCAGCUUUGACCAAGGAACACGCAAAGCCCUCAUCAACCCUCACACACCCGUCUUCGUCCACUGUGGCAGCAGCACGGCCCUCACCCACCCUCACCCACUCGUCCUCUUCCACUGAGGCAGCUUCAGGGCCUCGGAUUCAGAUUCCACCCAAACGGCGUCUCGAAAGCUUGGAGCACUGCUACCUGCGCUAUGUGGGCCUGGCUGUGUUUCUGCAUGUGUUUGAGUUGGGUGGGGUUUUAUUGCUCAUUUUUUUAUUGAUGUUGCACUGUAUUUCCUUUACAUUUCAUUUCACUUUUUAGAAUAGAGUGGUUAUGCUGUCUGUUACGGCAUUAGUGUAAUAUUAGUGCUGAGUUACACAUUAGAGCAUCAGAUCGAACAGAUGGUGCCCAGGAUGAAUGUUUAUUUACUUAUUUUUGAUCUUGUUUAUUCAUGUGACACCUUAUUUAUGAUGAUUAUUGUUAAUAUUGUUUGUUUCUAACAUUAAUAUUGUUAUUUAUACUAUUGUUAUUCAUAUUGUGGUUAGUGUUGUUAUUAUUACUAUCACUUUUAUUACUAUUAUAUGUGUAGUAGUAAUAGUAACAGUAGUAGUAUCAUCAUUAUUUUUUUAAACAUAAUUGCGUUGAAAUAAAACGAGUUUGGACAUUUCA